rnacentral:lncRNA from 1 species
AAUACUCCAUUCACACACUCUCACAACUUCACACAAUACUCCAUUCACGCACACACAACAACUGAGUGAAAAACACACACUCACACGCCGACACUACACACACAGAAAUCGGAAGGAGAGCACAAUUGUGCUUGGGGUUGUGUUGCCUAUCCCUAUUGUGAGGUUUAUGCUUUUCCUGAGAGCUUUCCACAAUUUGAGAUCCACCAACGGUCUGCAACAUUAUUCUUAUGUUCAUCUUGAAUUGAAGAAUGAUAAAGAGUUUAAAAAAGGGUAAAAAAGAUAUGAUAUGGUAGCCACCAUUUUUUCCGCCGAGAAGGUAUUU